ensembl:lncRNA
CUGGGGGGCAGUCACCUCCGCCCUGAACCCACAGGCUGGCCCUCUCCUGAGCGUUCGCCCUGCACGAGGGCCCUGUGCUCUGGUCUAGACCCGGAAGGCACCCCCCACACAUCCUGCUUCUGCAUCCUCGGGAGCCUCCCCUGUGGGGAGGGGACACGCCCCUCAGAGUCAUUCAGAAUGGGGCUCAGAGCCGUGGUCUCCGGCCAGCAGGCGUGCCGACCCUCUCGUUGCCUCAGAGAGACCGCUAGCCUCGGGCUCCUUCCCACCUUGACUGCAGAUUUUCCUAGAAGGAACUAGUCUCGCCAAAAGGCCAUUUCUUGGUCUGCACCUUCAAACUGUCCAGAACGCCGGGCCAGGCGAAGCCCCUUGUCCUAUGCCAACCUGGACGACCGGUGAUCCUCCCGAGUAAAUCUGUGCGUGCUCCCCGUGCAACCGGAGAUGUUAUCCUCUGUAAGAACUUAAGGCUCAACCUGUUAAGUCUCAUCAAUUGCCCUGAAUUUGUAGCCUUUUAAGCUGAGCACCAAAGAAUUGAUGCUUUUGAACUGUGGUGUUGGAGAAGACUCUUGAGAGUCCCUUGGACUGCAAGGAGAUCCAACCAGUCCAUCCUAAAGGAGAUCAGUCCUGGGUGUUCAUUGGAAGGACUGAUGCUGAAGCUGAAACUCCAAUACUUUGGCCACCUGAUGUGAAGAGCUGACUGACUGGAAAAGACCCUGAUGCUGGGAAAGACUGAAGGUGGGAGGAGAAGCGGACGACAGAGGAUGAGAUGGUUGGAUGGCAUCACCGACUCCAUGGACAUGGGUUUGGGUGGACUCCGGGAGUUGGUGAUGGACAGGGAGGGCCUGGCGUGCUGCGGUUCAUGGGGUCACAAAGAGUUGGACACGACUGGGUGACUGAACUGAACUGAAGCCUUUUACAUUUUUUUAAAUUUAUUUUUAGAUUUUUGGGGACUCUGGUAAGCAGUAGCUUUGAAGGUGUAUUUUCAUU